rnacentral:rRNA from 1 species
UCGGGAAUUUUGGGCAAUGGGCGAAAGCCUGACCCAGCAACGCCGCGUGAAGGAUGAAGUAUUUCGGUAUGUAAACUUCGAAAGAAUAGGAAGAAUAAAUGACGGUACUAUUUAUAAGGUCCGGCUAACUACGUGCCAGCAGCCGCGGUAAUACGUAGGGACCAAGCGUUGUUCGGAUUUACUGGGCGUAAAGGGCGCGUAGGCGGCAAUUCAAGUCAUCUGUGAAAUCUCCGGGCUUAACUCGGAACGGUCAGAUGAUACUGCUUUGCUAGAGUGCAGAAGGGGCAAUCGGAAUUCUUGGUGUAGCGGUGAAAUGCGUAGAUAUCAAGAGGAACACCUGAGGUGAAGACGGGUUGCUGGGCUGACACUGACGCUGAGAGGCUAAAGCGUGGGAAUCGAACGGGAUUAGAUACCCCCGUAGUCCCUGAGCGGGCUGGCAAGGCGCAU